UACGUAGGGUGCAAGCGUUGUCCGGAAUUAUUGGGCGUAAAGAGCUCGUAGGCGGUCUGUCGCGUCGGCUGUGAAAACUCGGGGCUCAACCCCGAGCCUGCAGUCGAUACGGGCAGACUAGAGUGCGUGUAGGGGAGACUGGAAUUCCUGGUGUAGCGGUGAAAUGCGCAGAUAUCAGGAGGAACACCGGUGGCGAAGGCGGGUCUCUGGGCCGAU
rnacentral:rRNA from 1 species